rnacentral:rRNA from 1 species
AGUUAAGUAAUAAAGGGCAAACGGGGGAUGCCUAGGCACUAAAAGGCGAUGAAGGACGUGAUAAGCUGCGAAAAGCGUCGGGGAGUGGCAAAUACACAGAGAUCCGGCGAUGUCCGAAUGGGGAAACCCGGUUCCGGUAAUGCGGAACCAGUCUGAGGCUGAAUACAUAGGUUUCAGAUAGCAAACCCGGGGAAGUGAAACAUCUCAGUACCCGGAGGAGAAGAAAACGAAAGUGAUUUCCUGAGUAGCGGCGAGCGAAACGGAAGGAGCCCAAACCUGUGUACAUGUACAUGGGGGUAGAAGGACCCGCGACAUUGACCUUAAGAAGUAGCUGAACGGAUUUGGAAAAGCCGGCCAGAGCGGGUGAAAGCCCCGUAAGCGAAACUUUGAGAGGCAUAGCGGGCACCUGAGUACUGCGGAGCAAGUGGAAUUCUGCAGGAAUCUGUCCAGACCACUGGAUAAGGCUAAAUACUCUUUAGUGACCGAUAGUGAACCAGUACCGUGAGGGAAAGGUGAAAAGCACCCUGAUGAAGGGAGUGAAACAGAACCUGAAACCGUUUGUCUACAAGCUGUCGGAGUCUCUUCGUGAGACGACGGCGUGCCUUUUGCAUAAUGAACCUACGAGUUACGGUAAGUAGCCAGGUUAAGACCUUCAGGGUCGUAGAGCCGCAGCGAAAGCGAGUCCGAAACGGGCGAUUAGAGUUACUUGCCGUAGACGCGAAACCGUGUGAUCUAGGCUUGGUCAGGAUGAAACUCCGGUAAAACGGGGUGGAGGUCCGAACUAUUUUGGGUUGAAAACCAUUUGGAUGAACUGAGCCUAGGGGUGAAAGGCUAAUCAAACUCGGUGAUAGCUCGUUCUCUCCGAAAUGCUUUUAGGAGCAGCGUCGUGAGUAGUUUCCAGGGGGUAGAGCACUGAUUGGGCUAGGGCUGCCACAGCGGUACCAACCCCAGAUAAACUCCGAAUACCUGCGAAAUGGUCCACGGCAGUGAGGGCGUGAGUGAUAAGAUCCAUGUCCGAGAGGGGAACAACCCAGACCAUCAGCUAAGGUCCCCAAGUACCGGUUAAGUGAGAAAGAAUGUUGGAUUACUGAGACAACCAGGAUGUUCGCUUAGAAGCAGCUAUCAUUUAAAGAGUGCGUAAUAGCUCACUGGUCAAGUGAUCCGGCGUCGAUAAUUAUCGGGGCUCAAACCGGUCACCGAAGCUAUGGAAUCCUCCGUUAAGGAGUGAAUUGGUAGGAGAGCAUUCCAUGGGCACAGAAGGUGCAGGGAAACCUGUGCUGGAGCGCAUGGAAAAGCAAAUGUAGGUAUAAGUAACGAUAAGAGGAGUGAGAAUCUCCUCCACCGUAAGUCUAAGGGUUCCUGCGCCACGUUCGUCGACGCAGGGUUAGUCGGGUCCUAAGCUGAGGCCGACAGGCGUAAGUGAUGGAAAACAGGUUAAUAAUCCUGUACCACCGGUGGGCGUUAACUUAAGGGGUGACGCAGAAGUGAAGGUCAGAGAGGAAAUGGAACUUCUUCCAAACUGGUAGGCGGUCCGGACAGGCAAAUCCGUUCGGGCAUACGCCGAGAAGUGACGGGAAGAUCUGGCUUGCCAGGUCAACUGACUGAUAAACAGGCUGCCGAGAAAAACCUCGUAAGUUGUCCAAAGGUGACCGUACCGCAAACCGACACAGGUAGACGGGUAGAAUAUACCAAGGUGUGCGAGUGAGCCGUAGCUAAGGAACUCGGCAAAUUAGCCCCGUAACUUCGGGAUAAGGGGCGCCGGUUGUAGGUGUAAGACUUCGCGUCUGAAGCUGAAGCCGGCCGCAGUGAAAGGGGUCAAGCGACUGUUUAACAAAAACACAUGUCUCUGCUAAGUCGAUUUAAGACGAUGUAUAGGGACUGACACCUGCCGAAGCCCCAGUAAACGGCGGCCGUAACUAUAACGGUCCUAAGGUAGCGAAAUUCCUUGUCGGGUAAGUUCCGACCUGCACGAAUGGUGUAACGACUUGACCACUGUCUCGGCUACGAGCUCGGUGAACUUGUGGUCCCGGUGAAGACGCCGGGUACCCGCCACGGGACGGAAAGACCCCAUGCACCUUUACUGCACCCUAGCAUUGGGUUUGGAUAAAGCAUGUGUAGGAUAGGUGGGAGACUUUGAAGUGGUGGCGCCAGCCAUCAUGGAGUCACCGUUGAAAUACCACCCUUGCUUUAUACGGAUUCUAACGUCGGGCCAUGAAUCUGGUCUACGGACAGUGUUAGGCGGGUAGUUUGACUGGGGCGGUCGCCUCCCAAAGAGUAACGGAGGCUCCCAAAGGUUCUCUCAGUACGGUUGGUAAUCGUACGUUGAGUGCAAAAGCAUAAGAGAGCUUAACUGCGAGACAGACACGUCGAGCAGAUGCGAAAGCAGGGUUUAGUGAUCCGGCGGUAGAGAGUGGAAUUGCCGUCGCUCAAAGGAUAAAAGGUACGCUGGGGAUAACAGGCUGAUCUCCGCCAAGAGUUCAUAUCGACGCGGAGGUUUGGCACCUCGAUGUCGGCUCAUCACAUCCUGGGGCUGGAGAAGGUCCCAAGGGUUUGGCUGUUCGCCAAUUAAAGUGGUACGUGAGCUGGGUUCAGAACGUCGUGAGACAGUUCGGUCCCUAUCUGUGGUGGGCGUUGGAAGUUUGAGAGGCUCUGUCCUUAGUACGAGAGGACCGGGAUGGACGAACCUCUGGUGCGCCGGUUGUCAUGCCAAUGGCAUUGCCGGGUAGCUAUGUUCGGAUGGGAUAAGUGCUGAAAGCAUCUAAGCACGAAACCCGCCUCAAGAUAAGACUUCCCUCCCGAUUUAUCGGGACUGAAGACUCCUGGAAGACGACCAGGUCGAUAGGCUCUAUGUGGAAGGCUGGUAACAGCUGCAGCAGAGGAGUACUAAUCAGUCGAGCGGCUUAACUGGUUCU